AGCGAACGCUGGCGGCAGGCCUAACACAUGCAAGUCGAACGCCCAGCAAUGGGAGUGGCAGACGGGAUAGUAACACGUGGGAACGCGCCCUUCGGUUCGGAAUAACUCAGGGAAACUUGAGCUAAUACCGGAUACGCCCUUACGGGGAAAGAUUUAUUGCCGAAGGAACGGCCCGCGUCGGAUUAGCUAGUUGGUGAGGUAAUGGCUCACCAAGGCGACGAUCCGUAGCUGGUCUGAGAGGAUGACCAGCAUCACUGGGACUGAGACACGGCCCAGACUCCUACGGGAGGCAGCAGUAGGGGAAUAUUGGACAAUGGGCGCAAGCCUGAUCCAGCCAUGCCGCGUGGAUGAUGAAGGCCUAGGGUUGUAAAGUCCUUUUAACGGGAAGAUAAUGACGGUACCCGUAGAAUAAGCCCCGGCUAACUUCGUGCCAGCCGCCGCGGUAAC
rnacentral:rRNA from 1 species